GACGAACGCUGGCGGCGUGCUUAACACAUGCAAGUCGAACGGAAAGGCCCUGCUUUUGUGGGGUUCUCGAGUGGCGAACGGGUGAGUAACACGUGAGUAACCUGCCCUUGACUUUGGGAUAACUUCAGGAAACUGGGGCUAAUACCGGAUAGGAGCUCCUGCUGCAUGGUGGGGGUUAGAAAGUUUCGGCGGUUGGGGAUGGACUCGCGGCUUAUCAGCUUGUUGGUGGGGUAGUGGCUUACCAAGGCUUUGACGGGUAGCCGGCCUGAGAGGGUGACCGGCCACAUUGGGACUGAGAUACGGCCCAGACUCCUACGGGAGGCAGCAGGGGGGAAUAUUGCAGAAUGGGCGGAAGCCUGAUGCAGCAACGCCGCGUGCGGGAUGACGGCCUUCGGGUUGUAAACAGCUUUCGCCUGUGACGAAGAGUGAGUGACGGUAAUGGGUAAAGAAGCACCGGCUAACUACGUG
rnacentral:rRNA from 1 species